GACCUAACCUGCGUCCCCCCGAGCCCCCCUUGCCGCCGCCACCCCUCCCCUCUGCCCCGUGCCGGAUCCGCCUGCCGCCGCCGCCACGCUCUCCUCUGCCCCGAUCCCCCUCACCUGCUUCCUCCCCACCUCGCCCCGUGAGCCCCGAUCCCCUCCUUCCCUGCUCUCCACUAUGCCGCCGCCUCCUCUCCUUCAUUUUUCUCUCCGGCGGCGGCGCCAAAGAAGGUGCACACGGGUGGUGGAUCCGUGCCUGAGAAGAGCGGCGGGGACUGCACUCCGGUCGCGGUGGGGGUGCAGCCGCGGGGAAGACGAACUAGGUCCGCUGCCCGUCUUCGCCUCCGGGCCGCGUCCUUGCUGCCUCCAUGGCCAAGCGCACAUUUUUUUCAUGUCCCUCCAUGGCGCUCGUUGCUGGCGGGAUCUCGAGGAACAAGUGGCCUCCAUGGCGCUCGCUGCCGCUCUGAAUGGAUAGGGUUGACGCAGCACACACGGUCUAGGAAGGCCACGGGAUGACUGUGAGAUGCAGUGAGGGCAACAGCGACAACGGAGGUAUCUAUCCUCGUCGAGCUUCCACCCCGGUGGCUGCGUGCAGAGGAGCAGAAUUCGAGGACAUCUUCCAGUUCGUGGGGGAGACUCAAACACAGAUAGGGUUUGGGUGGAGGUUGAUUCCCCUCCCACAGAGCGUACAAAGUUGCGUUGCUUUGCACAGAUCUUUCUUUGAUAGUUCCAAGCUUGAUGCGAUGAAUUUCUCCUGCAGUUUGUAGGGCUUGUACACUCCACCGUCUAAAAUAAAUCUAGCCAAAAGGUGGUUGAGAGAAAUUUUGUGGUGCCACUAUGUUCUUCCAGGUUUAAGCGCUUUGACUCUACUAAUUUUAGCCAGGUACUGCAUGUGCUUUCUGUGAUGGCAAGGAUAAAUUACUACGCAAUUUUGGCACUAUCCAGAUCAAAGAUUCAUGUCCUAAAAUAUUUUGCUCGGCUUCAUGCAAUUGAACUGUUAUCGCAUAUUUACGAGCCCCUAGGAAAGUCGGCAUUCAGGUCACCUACUAAAGCUCCUCCUCGCCACCGCGUGUGCACAUCGGCGUGGCCACCCUUCUGUCCAACUGUAGGUCCCAAGUUGGUUAUUGUUGGUUUUUGCUCAUGCACAAGCACAACCCAUCAUAGGAAUCAGUAGGACCAUCUUGAUGGAUGUAAGGACCGCAACAGGGUUUAUUCAGGGGCAUGUACAAGACUCCUAUAUGCUGUUAGCUCCUCCCAAACAUAGUAAGGCUUUGUUUUUUUGGAUGAUACCCCCUCCACCAGAGGCUCAGCACAACAAGGACAUUUUCCAACAAGAAAUUAAUUUGAAUGAGGGUUGCUGGUGAAGGAUGGAGCGGGUGAUGAAUAGAUGAGGAAGCCGAUUUGUAAUGCUCAGAACGCAGAAGGAACAUCAGCUGAAGGAGCGGCUGUAGCUGGUGAUGGAAGAGAGGCACUUGCAUUUGCCCACCAGAAGUACAGAUCGGUAAAGUACAGAGAAACUUCAGAGCAUGGUAGCAUUGUUUAUGAGAAGAAUCCACGACGGACUGAUAAUCUAAUUCUUCUUGGAAUUAUCUACUGUCAGUUUAUGACUUGGUGCUCGCUGAAGCUUCUAUUUUCUACCAAAAGUGCUAUUAAACAAAAGAACUCUACCGAUCCAGGAUUUUAUCCUAAGUUGCUAUUAAACUCACAAGAGGGAGCCUUUUAAUAACAAAGGAACUCUAACCAUGCUUUUUAUAUACUACGUAUAUGUAUGAUGUACUAGCAGUUCCUAUUUUUUAACUAUUGCAUAUCAGAAUAUUGAAUUGGCUAUGUCUGCAAAAAAAUAUGAUGUAUUAAAUUAUGUCAUGAAAGGGAUUUGUUCAUUUUCAAAACUAAGUUGGAUGAGCUUAAAGAACUUAUUCACCAGUACAGGUUAAAUAUGCUUUAAAAAAAUAGAUGUAUUUUUUUAGUGUACAUUAUCUUUUAUGUCUAAAGGAAUACUGGAUAUGCUUAUUUCUACUGCUAUAGUACAAGUUAACCCAUCCCAACUCCAUAGCAGUACUACAAACAGAACUGGAAUGAUUAUAUUUCUUUAUAGAUUUUACAAAUUCAGCAUGUUGAGCAUUUUUUGUGUGAUUUUCUUGAUAAAUCAACUAUUAGAGUAAACUUUCGUACUUAGCGACAACUUGAUUUAGCAUAAUAUGUUGGUUUCUGAACUUGGUAGAUGAAAUCACCCAGGAAAGCUACGUGUGUGCAAGCUAGCUAGACAAGCACACAAGCAAACUGUUGGAUUGAUGAACACAUAAUAUAGUCUCUGUGUAGCAAAAAGCUCUCUCUUUCUCUCAAGUACAGGCAGCCCACGAGCAGCCAGCAGAGCAAUAGCGAGCAGCCAACUAACAGCAAACAGAAGUAGCAGCAGUAAGCAGCGGAAGCGAGCAGCAACAAGCUCGUGGCCUAACCAUGUUGGCCCGGACCAAAAAUGAGAAAAAGCGACGCUGACAAAGAAAAGAAGGCACGAGAAGGCAGUGGCGGCUUCUCACCUUGCUGUUCGUGGCGAUGUCAGAUGGCACAAGGACUGAUGACAGCGAAUUCAGGACGGCAGCAAUGGCAGUCAGUGUCGAGGAAGAAGUAAGAGAGACCCGCAGCUUCGAACCUUUGGGCCAGAGUAGACGCGGAGCCACGGUUCCUGGAGUUACUCACGGUUCCUGGAGUUACUCGGGGAGGAUGACGACCGCGGUGGCGUCAUAACGACAGCUGAUGGAACAGAGGAAGGCGGCCUCGGUCCAAAAGUUCUCUGCAUGCUCGGUGUCCAGGAAUCGAAUCAGAACGAUGGCCGGAGGUGAACAAAGUUAGGGAAACUACUUAGGAUCAAGGACUCAUUGGAAAAAUGAGGCGAUUCAUUGUGGCGUCCAGCGGGCCUGCAUGUUGGACCUUGGGGCGUGGACGUCGAGCCGGACGGUGGGCUGUUGGAUUCCGCCCGUUCCUAUGGCUGGCGCUGCAGCAGCGAGCGGUGGUGUACCCGACGAGCUCGACCAGAAAGAGGAUCUAGGAGGAAGAGGAAAUGGAUUGAGGAGGAAGGUAGUGGAGUAGGAGUAUGAGUAAAACGUGAAGGGGCAGGGAGUUGCGGGCGCGUCCCAUGAGCAGGCGCUGCCAGCCUGACUGGUGGGUUCACGAGAGGGACCCACUGGUCAGUAACAAAGGGAGAGGUUGAAAAAAUAUAUAUGAAAAUGACUGGAAUAUCUCUUACUCCUCUACUCCCUCGUAAUCUACUCAAGAUUAAUUUUAUUGCUCAAAACUCAUCAGAAAUAUCUUUGAAAUUUUCACAUAUGCUACUACUUA